GUGACUCCAACUGGGAAAGUUAUGCACCUUGAGUUCAAUGAAUCAGGUUUUCGUCACUGUCAUCUGCCUUGGCUUCCAGAAACGGUUUCUCUUCUCUGAUGUUCUGCUGCCUAUAUUGGGCAGAACUUCAGGAGGCACCUUUGAUCGUCUGGAAGAGCGUGCAAGGGGUACCUGCUCUGUUCCCAUGUCUGUUUUCACCCAACCAGGAUGGAUCAAGGUACACAAGAUCCCGUCUUCCUUUAGUUCCAAAGCGAAGCAGACCGUCACCAUGUUCAAAGCAGCCUGCAAAGAUAAUUAAACAUCUUAAGAUCA